rnacentral:misc_RNA from 1 species
AACUUAUCAAAGUAUUAUUGUUUUGUAAUAUGCUUUGGAUUGUGGGAGUGCCGGAGUGUUCGCGCCCAGCUCUUCUGAAAAGUAUUAGCUUUGAGGCAAUCGGUGUGAUAAUUAGUCUACACCUCUUUAUGUCUCGGCUUGUUUUUAUUUAUGACUU